rnacentral:rRNA from 1 species
GACGAACGCUGGCGGCGUGCUUAACACAUGCAAGUCGAACGGGAAGGCCCUGCUUUUGUGGGGUGCUCGAGUGGCGAAAGGGUGAGUAACACGUGAGUAACCUGCCCUUGACUUUGGGAUAACUUCAGGAAACUGGGGCUAAUCCCGGAUAGGAGCUCCUGCUGCAUGGUGGGGGUUGGAAAGCUUCGGCGGUUGGGGAGGGACUCGCGGCUUAUCAGCUUGUUGGUGGGGUAGUGGCUUACCAAGGCUUUGACGGGUAGCCGGCCUGAGAGGGUGACCGGCCACACUGGGACUGAGAUACGGCCCAGCCUCCUACGGGAGGCAGCAGUGGGGAAUAGUGCACAAUGGGCGGAAGCCUGAUGCAGCAACGCCGCGUGCGGGAUGACGGCCUUCGGGUUGUAAACCGCUUUCGCCUGUGACGAAGCGUGAGUGACGGUAAUGGGUAAAGAAGCACCGGCUAACUACGUG